rnacentral:rRNA from 1 species
CCUACGGGUGGCAGCAGUGAGGAAUAUUGGUCAAUGGACGAGAGUCUGAACCAGCCAAGUAGCGUGAAGGAUGACUGCCCUAUGGGUUGUAAACUUCUUUUAUAUGGGAAUAAAACAGGGUAUGCAUACCCUCCUGUAUGUACCAUAUGAAUAAGGAUCGGCUAACUCCGUGCCAGCAGCCGCGGUAAUACGGAGGAUCCGAGCGUUAUCCGGAUUUAGUGGGUUUUAAGGGAGCGUAGGUGGAUUGUUAAGUCAGUUGUGAAAGUUUGCGGCUCAACCGUAAAAUUGCAGUUGAAACUGGCAGUCUUGAGUACAGUAGAGGUGGGCGGAAUUCGUGGUGUAGCGGUGAAAUGCUUAGAUAUCACGAAGAACUCCGAUUGCGAAGGCAGCUCACCGGACUGCAACUGACACUGAUGCUCGAAAGUGUGGGUAUCAAACAGGAUUAGAUACCCUUGUAGUC